rnacentral:lncRNA from 1 species
GAGAAGCGUGGGGGCCUUGGAAUAGUUCCAGAAUGAGGAUGUGCGUUUCUAGCUUCUUUGCGCCCUCCUCUCCCAAAAAUCUGCUACCACAAUUCCUCCCUGGCGGCGCGCCCCCAAGACUCCUUUGUCGCCCCAGGGGCGGGACCUGAGCUGUCGAUUUCAGGGGCUCUUCGUGACUCCAAAAGUCCUGGGCGCUGUUGCUCAUGAGUGCUGCACAACUGUCGCCCUCUAAAGCCACCUCCAUUCCUCACUGGGCUGGCCUCCUGAGCCUUCGAAGGAAGCCCGGUGCCAGCCAGCCUUCAUGAAAGACCAAGCCCGCGCCAUCCGGCUUCCUCCAGUGGACGCCUGCAGGACCCAGGUGAGACACGGAACCGGUUGGGGACGCGAGCAAGGGAUCCUGACCGGUUGGGGGCGGCGAGCAAGGGAUCCUGACUUGGGGGCGUUGCCUCCCGGAAUCCAAGAGGCCUUUUGCCCGGGUCUCCCGAGAUGCAUCGAAAUUGAGCUCGUCCACACAGCCCCCUGACUGCGUGGUGCCCUUUUCUGACUUAAAACAUUCCUUGUACCUUUAUUUACACGAUCCAAGUUGCAGUGUGCCUAGAUUUUCCUCCAAGGACAAAAAUGUGAAUAAAGCAAUAUUUUAGCCAAA